GACAGAGGGGGCAAGCGUUGCUCGGAAUUACUGGGCGUAAAGGAUGCGUAGGUGGAUAUUUAAGUCAGAUGUGAAAUACCCGAGCUUAACUUGGGUGCUGCAUUUGAAACUGGAUAUCUAGAGUGCAGGAGAGGUAAGUGGAAUUCCUAGUGUAGCGGUGAAAUGCGUAGAGAUUAGGAAGAACACCAGUGGCGAAGGCGACUUACUGGACUGUAACUGACACUGAGGCAUGAAAGCGUGGGGAGCAAACAGG
rnacentral:rRNA from 1 species